AGGUGUCUAGCUCAGUUGGAUUGAGCGCUACACCGGAAUCGCAGAGGCACAGGUUCGAUUCCUGCCUUUUGACCUA